rnacentral:rRNA from 1 species
CCUACGGGGGGCAGCAGUGGGGAAUAUUGCGCAAUGGGCGAAAGCCUGACGCAGCGACGCCGCGUGAGGGAUGAAGGUCUUCGGAUCGUAAACCUCUGUCAGCAGGGAAGAACGGUCACUGUGCUAAUCAGCAGUGAAUUGACGGUACCUGCAAAGGAAGCACCGGCUAACUCCGUGCCAGCAGCCGCGGUAAUACGGAGGGUGCGAGCGUUAAUCGGAAUUACUGGGCGUAAAGCGCUCGUAGGCGGUAUGUCAAGUCAAGUGUGAAAUCCCCGCGCUCAACGUGGGAACUGCCUUUGAAACUGGCAGACUGGAGUGUGUGAGAGGAUAGUGGAAUUCCAGGUGUAGGAGUGAAAUCCGUAGAGAUCUGGAGGAACAUCAGUGGCGAAGGCGACUAUCUGGCACAUAACUGACGCUGAGGAGCGAAAGCGUGGGUAGCAAACAGGAUUAGAUACCCCAGUAGUC